AUGGAGGCGGCGGCCUCAGCUGCUGUGGGGGCGGCCAAGGAGGCGGUGCUGGCCGCGUCGGCCGCGGCAUCAGCGGCAGAGAAGGAGGCGGCAGUGGCGGCCGCGACCGCGAAGGAGGCGGCGGCGGCCUCAGCUGCUGCGGUGGCUGCUAAGGAGGCGGCGUUCGCCGCGUCUGCUGCGGCAUCGGCUGCCGCGAACGAGGCGGAGGUGGCGGCUGUGACUGCGUCGGAGGCAGCGGCGACUGCGAAGGAGGCGGCCGUGGCGGCUUCGGCUGCUGCGUCAAAUGCGAAGGAGGCAGCGGCGGUGGCGGCGACUACAGGGGAGGUGGCGGCGGCGGCCGCCGCCGCUGCGACGGCGGCAGUGCAGGCUUCCAAGAAGCGUAAGUUUCACCUUAUCUGCGACCAAGAUCCAACGGGAAGUGGGAGCUGCGAUGAUGUUGAUGGGGGGAGCGUCGAUCUCAGCAAUGAUGUUGAUGGGGGGAGCGUCGAUCUCAGCGAUGAUGUUGUUGGGAGGAGCGUCGAUCUUAGCGAUGAUGUUGAUGUGGGGGUCGUCGAUCUCACUGAUGAUGUUGAUGGGGGGAGCGUCGAUCUCAGCGAUGGCGUUGACGAGGGGAGUGUCGAUCUCAUCAGCUAUUUUGAUUUGGGGAGUGCCGAUCACAUCAGCCGCCUCCCGGAUGCCGUCCUCGGCAUCAUCGUGUCUCUUCUCCCCACCAAAGAAGGCGCCCGCACGCAGAUCAUCUCCCGCCGGUGGCGUCCGCUCUGGCGUUCCGCUCCUCUGAACCUUGUAGUGGACUACAAGAUCAUUAACUUGGUUCCAAAGAUCCUCUCUGAGCAUCGUGGCCCCGCACGCCGUUUCUCAAUCGAGGACUGUUGCGUCGAAGGCAGGCUUGGUUCCUAUACCCGGAGUAUCUAUACAGAAGACUGUUAUGAUAAGAUCGAAGGCUGGCUUAGUUCCCGUGCCCUGGACAACCUAGAGGAGUUGGAGCUCACCCCCACGUGCUCAUACGGCUACCGGGGGGAGUUGUACCUGCUGCACUUGUCGACAUACCGCUUCUCAUCCACGCUCCGCAUGGCCAAAUUCCACUGCUGCCAUUUCCCCGACUUAAUUGCGCGGCUGUCCCUGAAGUUUCCGUGCCUCAAGCAACUGACACUGCAAAAGGUCACCAUCUCGGAGGACCCUCUCCAGAGCUUGCUCUCUGGCUGCACUGCCUUGGAAAGCCUUGAGCUGAAGGAAAACAUGGGCACUGGUCGCCUCUGCAUCACCUCCCAAACUCUUAAGAGUUUAGGCUUUUGCGCUGACUCAUGGGAUGGUGGUCUCUUUUUGCAAGAGUUAGUCAUCAAGGAUGCUCCAUGCCUUGAGAGAUUGCUACCACUUAAUCCAAAGGGUGGCACAGCGAGCAUACGGAUAAUCUCGGCACCUAAACUGGAGAUACUGGGUAUGCUGUCUGAAGACACAUAUGAAUUCCACCUUGGGAGCUCAGUUUUUCAGAAAAUGAUUGCUGUCAGUUUAACAACCAAAAUGCACACCAUGAGGGUUUUGGUUCUCAGACCUUCUAGCCCUAAACUGGACGCAGUGGUUAACUUUCUCAAGUGCUUCCCUUGCUUGGAGAGGCUGUAUAUCAUUUUCCAGUCAGGGGAGGGUAUGAAGAAUGUCUGGAAGUAUGACCCACUGGACCCACUUGAAUGUCUUGAGCUUCAUCUCAAAAAAGUGGUGUUGAAGAAUUAUGAUGGCAUCAGAGAUUCAUCUAUCAACUUCGCCAAGUUCUUUGUUCUGAAUGCAAAAGUGCUAAAGAAAUGA
rnacentral:rRNA from 1 species